AUUGAACGCUGGCGGCAAGCCUAACACAUGCAAGUCGAGCGGAUGAAGGGAGCUUGCUCCUGGAUUCAGCGGCGGACGGGUGAGUAAUGCCUAGGAAUCUGCCUGGUAGUGGGGGAUAACGUCCGGAAACGGGCGCUAAUACCGCAUACGUCCUGAGGGAGAAAGUGGGGGAUCUUCGGACCUCACGCUAUCAGAUGAGCCUAGGUCGGAUUAGCUAGUUGGUGGGGUAAAGGCCUACCAAGGCGACGAUCCGUAACUGGUCUGAGAGGAUGAUCAGUCACACUGGAACUGGGACACGGUCCAGACUCCUACGGGAGGCAGCAGUGGGGAAUAUUGGACAAUGGGCGAAAGCCUGAUCCAGCCAUGCCGCGUGUGUGAAGAAGGUCUUCGGAUUGUAAAGCACUUUAAGUUGGGAGGAAGGGCAGUAAGUUAAUACCUUGCUGUUUUGACGUUACCAACAGAAUAAGCACCGGCUAACUUCGUG
rnacentral:rRNA from 1 species